AAUGGCGUAUGCUUACAAAUAAUGAUCAAAUGAAUAUUACUUUUUCACUGGAAAAAGCUACAUAAAUUUCCACAUUUUCUCUUUGGUUUGAACUUUCAAAUCCAACUUGUGUAAUGGAAAAAUCAACGGUGUUCAACAACGGUUUAUGUUUGCUUCUGCAAACGAGUUCGAUGAAGAAUUAUCAGAACCCGUUUUAUGGAGG
rnacentral:lncRNA from 1 species